UACGUAGGGACCAAGCGUUGUUCGGAAUCACUGGGCGUAAAGCGCACGUAGGCGGAUCGUUAAGUCGGGGGUGAAAUCCCAGGGCUCAACCCUGGAACUGCCUUCGAUACUGGCGAUCUUCGAGUCCGGGAGAGGUGAGUGGAACUCCGAGUGUAGAGGUGAAAUUCGUAGAUAUUCGCAAGAACACCAGUGGCGAAGGUGGCUCACUGGCCCGGUACUGACGCUGAGGUGCGAAAGCGUGGGGAGCAAACAGG
rnacentral:rRNA from 1 species